CCUACGGGAGGCAGCAGUGAGGAAUAUUGGUCAAUGGACGAAAGUCUGAACCAGCCAAGUAGCGUGAGGGAUGACGUCCCUCGGGAUUUUAAACUCCUUUUAGAAGGGAGUAAAAGACGGCACGUGAGCCAUUUGUCAUGUCUAACAUCGUGAAAGAGGCCGCGGUAAUACGGCGGGGGCAAGGGUUAUACGGAUUUACUGGGUGUAAAGGGAGCGUAGACGGGAUGAUAAGUCAGCUGUGAAAUGCCGAGGCUUAACCUGGGAAUUGCAGUGGAAACUGUGCAGCUUGAGUGCAGACGAGGUAGGUGGAAUUCGUGGUGUAGCGGUGAAAUGCGUAGAUAUCAGGAAGAACUCCGAUUGCGAAGGCAGCUUACUGGACUGCAACUGACGCUGAGGCUCGAAAGUGUGGGUAUCAAACAGGAUUAGAUACCCCAGUAGUC
rnacentral:rRNA from 1 species